rnacentral:rRNA from 1 species
AAAUUGAAGAGUUUGAUCAUGGCUCAGAUUGAACGCUGGCGGCAGGCCUAACACAUGCAAGUCGAACGGUAACAGGAAGCAGCUUGCUGCUUCGCUGACGAGUGGCGGACGGGUGAGUAAUGUCUGGGAAACUGCCUGAUGGAGGGGGAUAACUACUGGAAACGGUAGCUAAUACCGCAUAACGUCGCAAGACCAAAGGGGGGGGACCUUCGGGCCUCUUGCCAUCGGAUGUGCCCAGAUGGGAUUAGCUUGUUGGUGGGGUA